UCAAACUUGGUCAUUUAGAGGAAGUAAAAGUCGUAACAAGGUUUCCGUAGGUGAACCUGCGGAAGGAUCAUUACUGAGGUUGUGCGGUUUGCCCUGCGAGGCGGCCGGUCACCCGUCCUUAUGUCAUAUGCAGCGGAACCGAGUCGGUGACGGUGGGGCCCCCCCUGAUCGGGGGAGCUUUACGCCGGAGCUGUGCGGGUCCGAGAGAUUCACUUCGGCGGAGGUGUUGUGAGACUCCUGGCGACGGGGGGCUCAUGACCGCCGCCGGUUUUAUAACCAAAGCCUGUAUAGCUGUGAAAUGUCUGAAGAAACACGAAACAAAAAAAAAAAGAAAAAACUUUCAACAACGGAUCUCUUGGCUCUGGCAUCGAUGAAGAACGCAGC
rnacentral:misc_RNA from 1 species